rnacentral:misc_RNA from 1 species
AAGUCGUAACAAGGUUUCCGUAGGUGAACCUGCGGAAGGAUCAUUAACACGUAUCCAACGUUAAACCCCCCGUGAACCUUCAUUGUGCUCCCCCAUUCUGGUAAAUCAUCGCCGAACAGUUUUGAUUCAGGGACCUCUGCAUGGAGUGGGCAGCAGCGCGAGGCAAGUGGCCUGGCAUUCGAAAGAAUGGCGCAGUAACGAUCGCUAGAGGCCGACACGGCCGGCGACCGGGUCACUGGGCUCACGCCCCCCUAUCACCUUUGCAUGAAAACGGGCCUGCGCUUAAUUGUGCGGCCACCAAACUCGAACAACUGUUAACAAUGGAUAUCUUGGUUCUC